CAUCAACUGGUUUGUUUGUAACACAAUCAAACCUGAUGGGCCAUUUCACGGGAGGUAUUGACUGAAAGAAACCAAUUUGAAGACAACAAGUAAUGACAUCCUUGUGCACCAAUGAUUUUCCCGCUGUUACGUUGAUUGACUGUCUUUUAACCCAUUGACCACUGAUCGUCUUGAAAUCUAGCUGGGUAGAUAGCCAAUGAGCUGAGCUAAAUGGCAAUACGCCAUUUUUAUGUGUUGCAAGACCAACCCAUAUAGUAAGCUCCAGCAUAAAGAGAGUCAUGCACUAUUGAAUUGUCAUACCGGAAGAAGCUACGCAUUUACGCAUUGUAUUGUUUGGUGAAUUCGCAGAUUCAGCUGUUUAUACAUCAAUUAUUAUGGCGACUCAGGAAGUCAGGAAAGCUACAUCUAAGUCUAGAUAUACAGAUGUGCACACAACUUUAGAAUAAAUUGAUUGGGAAGGUGAGACAGAGAUUGUUGUAGGAUGCUUCAUUUAGCGAUUGUGGAGGAAUAUUUUUUGAACGGGAGAGGACAUCGUUUUGGACUGGAGGACCUGAGCCCUAGGACCAUGUGUCAGGACUACCUGGCAUGAUGACUCCUUGCUGUUCCCAGUCCACCUGGCCUUGCCGCUGUUCCAGUUUCAACUGUUCUGCCUGCGACUAUGGAACCCUAAACUGUUCAUUUUUACUCUUGAGGUGCUGUCCUGUUGCACCCUCUACAACCACUGUGAUCUCCACCUGGCACAGCCAGGAGAGGACUGGCCACCCCACAUAGCAUGGUUCCUCUCUAGGUUUCUUCCUAGGUUUUGGCCUUUCUAGGGAGUUUUUCCCAGCCACCGUGCAUCUACACCUGCAUUGCUUGCUGUUUGGGGUUUUAGGCUGGGGCUAUAUAAAUAGAUUUGAUUUGAUAGAGGACUGAGGGUCAUCCAAAUAUUGAAAGUGUGUAAAUAGUUACCCAUGUUAUUUUGUAAAUGUAUAUAUAUUUUUUCUCCAAUUUUUUUAAAUCAAUAAUAAAAAAUAAAAUAAUAAAAUCAUUUAUUUUUCUAAAUUCUUUUUUUUUGGGGGGGGGGGGUGUUAGAAUACCAUUUUGGCAUUUUGUAUAUAGUUAUUUGUUUCAAAAUGUAUACCUUCACCAAUUUGGCCACUUGGGUACAUUUGGGCUACUUGUGUGGGACACCUGGGUGACUUUGUGAUAAAUGUUAUGUAAGCCCACUCAUUUUGGAAGUUAUCAUUCUUUGCACAAGUACUGUUGCCUUCUUAUAUUUUUCACUGAAAUUGUCCCCAUCAUCCUAUCUGAAUGUUUGUUUUAUCUUGUUCAUUUUAAAGAUGAUGAUACAAAAAGGAAAAUAAAAAAACUUGUGUUUUUUUUCAUUGUUUUAUCUAAA